GUCGAGCGGCGGACGGGUGAGUAAUGCCUAGGAAAUUGCCCUGAUGUGGGGGAUAACCAUUGGAAACGAUGGCUAAUACCGCAUGAUGCCUACGGGCCAAAGAGGGGGACCUUCGGGCCUCUCGCGUCAGGAUAUGCCUAGGUGGGAUUAGCUAGUUGGUGAGGUAAGGGCUCACCAAGGCGACGAUCCCUAGCUGGUCUGAGAGGAUGAUCAGCCACACUGGAACUGAGACACGGUCCAGACUCCUACGGGAGGCAGCAGUGGGGAAUAUUGCACAAUGGGCGCAAGCCUGAUGCAGCCAUGCCGCGUGUGUGAAGAAGGCCUUCGGGUUGUAAAGCACUUUCAGUCGUGAGGAAGGUAGUGUAGUUAAUAGCUGCAUUAUUUGACGUUAGCGACAGAAGAAGCACCGGCUAACUCCGUGCCAGCAGCCGCGGUAAUACGGAGGGUGCGAGCGUUAAUCGGAAUUACUGGGCGUAAAGCGCAUGCAGGUGGUUUGUUAAGUCAGAUGUGAAAGCCCGGGGCUCAACCUCGGAAUAGCAUUUGAAACUGGCAGACUAGAGUACUGUAGAGGGGGGUAGAAUUUCACGUGUAGCGGUGAAAUGCGUAGAGAUCUGAAGGAAUACCGGUGGCGAAAGCGGCCCCCUGGACAGAUACUGACACUCAGAUGCGAAAGCGUGGGGAGCAAACAGGAUUAGAUACCCUGGUAGUCCACGCCGUAAACGAUGUCUACUUGGGAGGUUGUGGCCUUGAGCCGUGGCUUUCGGAGCUAACGCGUUAAGUAGACCGCCUGGGGAGUACGGUCGCAAGAUUAAAACUCAAAUGAAUUGACGGGGGCCCGCACAAGCGGUGGAGCAUGUGGUUUAAUUCGAUGCAACGCGAAGAACCUUACCUACUCUUGACAUCCAGAGAACUUUCCAGAGAUGGAUUGGUGCCUUCGGGAACUCUGAGACAGGUGCUGCAUGGCUGUCGUCAGCUCGUGUUGUGAAAUGUUGGGUUAAGUCCCGCAACGAGCGCAACCCUUAUCCUUGUUUGCCAGCGAGUAAUGUCGGGAACUCCAGGGAGACUGCCGGUGAUAAACCGGAGGAAGGUGGGGACGACGUCAAGUCAUCAUGGCCCUUACGAGUAGGGCUACACACGUGCUACAAUGGCGCAUACAGAGGGCGGCCAACUUGCGAAAGUGAGCGAAUCCCAAAAAGUGCGUCGUAGUCCGGAUUGGAGUCUGCAACUCGACUCCAUGAAGUCGGAAUCGCUAGUAAUCGUGGAUCAGAAUGCCACGGUGAAUACGUUCCCGGGCCUUGUACACACCGCCCGUCACACCAUGGGAGUGGGCUGCAAAAGAAGUAGGUAGUUUAACCUUCGGGG
rnacentral:rRNA from 1 species